UACAGAGGGUGCAAGCGUUAAUCGGAAUUACUGGGCGUAAAGGGUGCGUAGGUGGUUGAAUAAGUUAGGUGUGAAAGCCCCGGGCUUAACCUGGGAAUUGCGCCUAAUACUGUCUGACUAGAGUACUGUAGAGGAAGGUGGAAUUUCCGGUGUAGCGGUGAAAUGCGUAGAUAUCGGAAGGAACAUCAGUGGCGAAGGCGACUUUCUGGACAGAUACUGACACUGAGGCACGAAAGCGUGGGGAGCGAACAGG
rnacentral:rRNA from 1 species